rnacentral:miRNA from 1 species
AUGGGUAGAAAGUGCUUUUUUACA